AUACGGAGGGUGCAAGCGUUAAUCGGAAUUACUGGGCGUAAAGGGCGCGUAGGCGGUCUAUCAAGUCAGGUGUGAAAUCCCACGGCUCAACCGUGGAGGUGCAUCUGAAACUGAUAGACUUGAGUAUGGGAGAGGAAAGUGGAAUUCCCGGUGUAGAGGUGAAAUUCGUAGAUAUCGGGAGGAACACCAGUGGCGAAGGCGACUUUCUGGACCAAUACUGACGCUGAGGCGCGAAAGCGUGGGGAGCAAACAGUAUUAGAAACCCUAGUAGUCC
rnacentral:rRNA from 1 species